AUUGAACGCUGGCGGCAAGCCUAACACAUGCAAGUCGAACGAGCGGCGGACGGGUGAGUAAUGUCUGGGAAACUGCCUGCUGGAGGGGGAUAACUACUUGACACGUUAGCUAAUACCGCAUACCAUCAGAUGUGCCCAGAUGGGAUUAGCUAGUAGGUGGGGUAAAGGCUCACCUAGGCGACGAUCCCUAGCUGGUCUGAGAGGAUGACCAGCCAUACUGGAACUGAGACACGGUCAAGACUCCUACGGGAGGCAGAAGUGUGGAAUAUUGCACAAUGGGCGCAAGCGUGAUGCAGCCAUGCCGCGUGUAGUAAGAAGGCCUUCGGUUUGUAAAGUACUUUCAGCGGGGAGGCGUUACCCGCAGAAGAAGCCACGGCUAACUCCGUGCCAGCAGCCGCGGUAAUUC
rnacentral:rRNA from 1 species